CCAGAACACACCUUCAGCCAGAUUUGAAUAUAGAUUUAGGUUUUAAAACCCAGAAGCUGGAAACACCACUUUAUCAAAGAGAAUUUCCCUUUAGCUUAGCAAUAUGCUGCAGCUCUCAAAAGAUUGGAUCUGAAAGAAAGAGACGGAGGAGAAUGAGAGCCAGAGACAGAGAUGCAGACAAGGGAGGGAAGGGGAAAAAAGACUUUUCUUUUCUUUUUUUUUUUUUUUUCUUUCUAGAGGAAUUCUGCCCAGACUCUCCAGCAGUUGGUAGCAGGCAGGCUUUCUCCUGUGUCGCCUGGAAAAGUUGCAAAAUUGCUCUUCACCUGUAAGAACAUGCUUUUUUAUCUUCCAGUCUCUUCUUGUCAAUUUGGAAAUUGCAGACAGCCCGGCUCAGGCAUUAAGAGAAAUUGAUUAGUGACAAGGAAGAGAAGAAAACAUUGCUGGUCAGUAGGCCACGGGGUCAAAGAAGAAAGCUUUAAGCCAAAGAAGAAGAUCAUUCUAUUCUGUUUGUUUCUUGUUCAUUGUAUACAUAUAUAUAGAUAUAUGAGUUCGAGGCCAGCCUCGUCUAUGCAGAGAAACCCUGCCUGAAACAAAACAAAAGCAAUGUGAAAAAAGACUUCAGAACUACUGAGCUGGAGUGAACUUGUGUACACUAAAAAGUUAUGAAUCUCAAUGUGUUUGGAAUGUUAUGUCCUGAAUGCUUGCAUUUCCCCUAAAAUAUACAUAUUGAAAUCAUGGCCCCUAAGACGACGGAUGGUAUUACCUUUGGGAGGUGAUCAUGUCACAAAGGCAUGGCUUUCAUGGACAAAAUCAGUGACUCUGUAAAGACAUAACAGAGGUUUUGGUGUCUUCUCUCUGACAGCCUUGUUGUACCUGGAGCAGCCACCAUUGCAUACAGCAUUUGCCUCUAGCUUUUCCAGUCUCCAGAGUGAUAAGAAGGGACUUUCUGUGGUUUUUAAACCACCCAGUUUGUAGUAUUUUGUUACAGUAGCCCGAGCCGACCAUGACAAGCAGUUAAGAUAUGUGGUUCAUUUCCAUUUAAGCAAACUUUUAUUUUUGGUUUCAUUCUCAAACCCAAUGUUGCCUAUGUUCAGGGAAGCAGAAGAAAAUUUGAAACAUGGCCAGCUUCCCUUUUAUCUUCUUUCCUCGGCCGCUGUUUUGCUCUUUAAUAUACAUGUUCAAUGAGUUCAUCUCUACUAAAACAAAUAUAAGAAUAUAUUUACCAGGAAACCGUGCAGUAAGAUGUAUUUAUGCAGUUAGAUGGUGGUGACGCACGCCUUUAGUCCAGGCACUCAGGAGGCAGAGGCAGGAGGAUCUCUG
ensembl:lncRNA